AGCCUGCGGCUUAUUUGACUCAACACGGGGAAACUCACCAGGUCCAGACACGAUGAGGAUUGACAGAUUGAGAGCUCUUUCUUGAUUUCGUGGGUGGUGGUGCAUGGCCGUUCUUAGUUGGUGGAGUGAUUUGUCUGCUUAAUUGCGAUAACGAACGAGACCUUAACCUGCUAAAUAGCCCGUAUUGCUUUGGCAGUACGCCGGCUUCUUAGAGGGACUAUCGGCUCAAGCCGAUGGAAGUUUGAGGCAAUAAC
rnacentral:rRNA from 1 species